rnacentral:antisense_RNA from 1 species
CUUCACCGAGCCCAGGUAGAGGGGCAGUUCGCGGUCCUGCCCGUAGGUCUCCAGCAGCGCCUGCGCCUC